GCCGGGGUGGCGAAACUGGUAGACGCGCCAGACUCAAAAUCUGGUAGUGGUGACACUGUGUCGGUUCGAUUCCGACCCUCGGUACCA
rnacentral:tRNA from 1 species